GACGAACGCUGGCGGCGUGCUUAACACAUGCAAGUCGAACGGAAAGGCCCUGCUUUUGUGGGGUGCUCGAGUGGCGAACGGGUGAGUAACACGUGAGUAACCUGCCCUUGACUUUGGGAUAACUUCAGGAAACUGGGGCUAAUACCGGAUAGGAGCUCCUGCUGCAUGGUGGGGGUUGGAAAGUUUCGGCGGUUGGGGAUGGACUCGCGGCUUUUCAGCUUGUUGGUGGGGGAGUGGCUUACCAAGGCUUUGACGGGUAGCCGGCCUGAUGGGGUGACCGGCCACAUUAGGACUGAGAUACGACCCGGACUCCUACGGGAUGCAACAGUGGGGAAUAUUGCACAGUGAGCGGAAGCCUGAUGCAGCAGCGCAGCGUGCGGGAUAACGGCCUUCGGGUUAUAAACCACUUUCGCCUGUGACGAAGCGUGAGUGACGGUAAUGGGUAAAGAAGCACCGGCUAACUACGUG
rnacentral:rRNA from 1 species